CGUCAAUAUGAGAAGCUACAGGCUGAUAGGAGGAACCAAAGAGCUCUGUAAAGAAGGAAAAGUUGAAGCGGUCUGUUUGGAUGGUCAUGUGUUGAAAUAGAAAAACCGCAUUCCAAAGUCGCCCGCCUUCCAGCAGCGAGAGGUAAAACACAAUAUCCUUCAGCUGCACCAUAUCCAGAGGACCGGGAGGGGCAGAGGUCUUCAGAGGAGUCGAGUUGCUUUUGAUGAGCUUAAGGCCUGCAGGGGGACAC